UCAAACCCUCGCCUGACAGCGCGCAGGAAUCGGUCCUCUCUCCCUCUCUCGUCGACUCGCUCUCCUUCUGCUGCUUCUGUGUCUCGUUGAAGCCCCAGAAUUGCGGGACGAACCAGAAAAGCAGCUGCUGUAACUCUCGAUUGCGACGGAGGAGAUCCCCGGAAGACCUCUUCGGAAUAGCAGGCUAAAAUGGCAACCAAGUACAUUAUACCUUCUAUUUUUGGAUCAUUUGCAGUUGCAUAUGUAUGUGACCAUUUGAUUGCUGACAAGAAGAUAUUUGGAGGGACCACACCUUCAACCGUUUCAGGCAGGGAAUGGCAGGAAGAAACAGACAAAAAGUUCCAAGCAUGGCCUCGAACUGCAGGUCCUCCAGUGGUCAUGAACCCCAUCAGUCGUCAGAAUUUCAUUGUUAAAUCCCAUGCUGAUUCUUGAAGCUCCAUGCCUUCAUUUUUCCUCCGGUUGCUUGAGAUCUUCAUAUUCAUUGGGCAAAACAUCCCAAACAAUUUACAAUUGAAUUAUAGUGGCUUUUGAAUUUGGACAGCAAUUGCUUUUAUGCUGCCAACUUGAAAAAUAAAUUGGUGACAUUGUUAUGUUCCUUUUGUUUUAUUCUCAAUUUUGGUCUUGAAUUGAAUGGAAAGAAACUUUGAAUCAUAAUUCUUUCGUACAAAUCAAUUUUUCAUUAAUGCUUGCUCUAAAAACUUGAGUUGGCAGUGGCAUUUUUUUUAGAGUUCGGUUCAUGCCAUGGCACAAAAUACACCCUCUCCGUUGUGUGGCUGAGGGGGCCUUAGCAACAAAUAUUCAACUCUAUUUGGCUGCCUUUGAUAAUUCAUCUAUUGAUUGUCAUCCAGUUUUCCGGCAAAGUUUGGAUGUAGCAUGGGAUAUGUUCAAAACAUGUUGAUGCAACCCAUGAGAAUGCAAAUGUCACAUUUAGACCAAUAUCCUCCAGGAAAUAGAGAUCCUUAGUUUCACAGCUGCAUUGCUUUUUGCCCCAUUCCAUGUAGAAGUUAUACUCAACAAUUCAAAAUGGUGUUUGCAGGAUAUGCAAAGGUCAAUGGAUGAUUUUGGUUCAAGCUCUUUCUGUAAUGUGGCUAACUUUUAAGAGGAUAUUGUUGGUUUAUUUUUGCCAUUUAAGAUUACUGUGAUUGUGAUUUAUCUUUUUUUAAAUAGACCCUUUCAUGUGUUUUAAUCUAAAUAAUGAAGGCCAAACCUAUAAUGUGACCGU